rnacentral:piRNA from 1 species
UACUGCUAAUAAAUACCUUUAAACCGGAGA